GGAUAUGAGGGCGAUCUGGCUGCAACAUCUGUCACCCCAUUGAUCGCCAGGGUUGAUUUGGCUGAUCUGGCUGGCUAGGCAGGUGUCCCCUUCCUCCCUCACCGCUCCAUGUGCGUCCCUCCCGAAGCUGCGCGCUCGGUUGAAGAGGACGACCUUCCCCAAUAGAGGAGGACUGGUCUUCAGUCAAGGGUAUACUUGACCGAAGACCGCUCCCCUGCUAGAACCUCCAAAACAAGCUCUCAAGAAAGUUGCUCCUCUGUAAUUACUUUUGAGUCCCAAUGUAACAGAUAUGCAUACAUUUUUCCUUUUG
ensembl:misc_RNA Gm22058 predicted gene, 22058